rnacentral:rRNA from 1 species
CCUACGGGAGGCAGCAGUGAGGAAUAUUGGUCAAUGGCCGUAAGGCUGAACCAGCCAAGUCGCGUGAAGGAAGAAGGAUCUAUGGUUUGUAAACUUCUUUUAUAGGGGAAUAAAGGUAUCCAUGUGUGGAUAUUUGCAUGUAACCUAUGAAUAAGCAUAGGCUAACUCCGUGCCAGCAGCCGCGGUAAUACGGAGGAUGCGAACGUUAUCCGGAUUUAGUGGGUUUAAAGGGUGCGUAGGUUGUUUUUUAAGUCAGCGGUGAAAGUUUGUGGCUCAACCAUAAAAUUGCCGUUGAAACUGGAAGACUUGAGUGUGUUUGAGGUAGGCGGAAUGCGUGGUGUAGCGGUGAAAUGCAUAGAUAUCACGCAGAACUCCGAUUGCGAAGGCAGCUUACUAGGCCAUAACUGACACUGAAGCACGAAAGCGUGGGGAUCAAACAGGAUUAGAUACCCGGGUAGUC